rnacentral:piRNA from 1 species
UGACUAGAAGGUGAAACGUGAUGGUUGAAU